GACAGAGGAUGCAAGCGUUAUCCGGAAUGAUUGGGCGUAAAGCGUCUGUAGGCGGCUUUUCACGUCCGCCGUGAAAUCCCAGGGCUCAACCCUGGACAGGCGGUGGAAACUAACAAGCUGGAGUACGGUAGGGGCAGAGGGAAUUUCCGGUGGAGCGGUGAAAUGCAUUGAGAUCGGAAAGAACACCAACGGCGAAAGCACUCUGCUGGGCCGACACUGACACUGAGAGACGAAAGCUAGGGGAGCAAAUGGG
rnacentral:rRNA from 1 species